UACGUAGGGUGCGAGCGUUGUCCGGAAUUACUGGGCGUAAAGAGCUCGUAGGUGGUUUGUCGCGUUGUCCGUGAAAACUCACAACUCAAUUGUGGGCGUGCGGGCGAUACGGGCAGACUGGAGUACUGCAGGGGAGACUGGAAUUCCUGGUGUAGCGGUGGAAUGCGCAGAGUAUCAGGAGGAACACCGGUGGCGAAGGCGGGUCUCUGG
rnacentral:rRNA from 1 species